CUAAAAACAACCAAGAUGUCACUGUUAAUGUGGAGAACUGCAGUGAUCUUCUCAGAACAAAUGAUAAGAAUAGCGAUUAUAUUUGAAGACUUUCCAUGUCAUGAAUAGAUGCUUCAUCCCUCUUUUGUGGCCAUCAACUUACCAGCCUACUCAAAGAUAACUACGACCAACUCUCCACAGAGCCAGAAGAGGUUGUCCAGCUAAUGAAAAGAAAAUAGGAAUCUACUGAGUCUCCUAUGUAUCUACUCCAGGACUUCAGUGAGGAUCAAAUGAGAUGAGGCAUGGGAAAAUGCUUCACAAACAUUUAAAGUAUAAAAUGUUUGCACCUGGC